GAACGCCAGUGUGAAGACACAAAACAGCUAACAGCUCAUGAGAAGGAGCUUCGUGUGGAAGGACACCGUGAGCUGUCCAACAUUGUAAUCCAACUUGGUUCGUGGACUUGGAUGGGAACAACUUUCUGACCUUAAUGACACCCAGGAAAAAGGUGAGAUUCUAAUCCAUUUAAAUGCCAAAAGCAAGCAGUUUUUGUUUUUAAAGAUGUUUAUUUUAUUUUAUUCGUGUUGGAGAGAGAGAAGCACCACAGUGGAGCGAGAGGGGAUGAUCUGCAGCAAAGGGACCACCGGAAAUCAAACCUUGGCCGCUACGAUAACAUGUGGCAUGUGUGAUUACGACUUCCAGCAUGGACCUUCACAUGGACCUCAUCACCUUCUUUGUUGUUCUUCUAACCCAUGAAUGGAUACAAGUUUUGUCAGGGAUAAACAGUGAGAGAAUCAUGUCAGCCCACAGUGGACAACCGUUAGACUUGUGAAUCUUCAAGCAGUAAUGAUGACAACACCUGCCUUAAGUUCCAGUUUCCUGAACAUCAUGCCAUGUCUGCUUGAGAUUCUGUCCUACCUGUCUUCAGUCUGGACCCAAUGACUCAGACACCAGUCUUGUCAAGGCUAAAUUUAGAGAGGAUCACCUGAUGGUCGACAUACGAGUCUUCAAGCAGAACUUCCUGAACUUUCUGUCCGUGUGAGACUCUAUACCAUGUUGGGUGCCCUGCCCUCUUCAGUCAAGUCUGG